UACAGAGGUCUCAAGCGUUGUUCGGAUUCAUUGGGCGUAAAGGGUGCGUAGGUGGCGCGCUAAGUCAGGUGUGAAAUUUCGGAGCUUAACUCCGAAACUGCAUUUGAUACUUGCGUGCUUGAGGACUGGAGAGGAGACUGGAAUUCAUGGUGUAGCAGUGAAAUGCGUAGAGAUCAUGAGGAAGACCAGUGGCGAAGGCGGGUCUCUGGACAGUUCCUGACACUGAGGCACGAAGGCCAGGGGAGCAAACGGG
rnacentral:rRNA from 1 species